GCCGGAUGCAGAGCCCGCAGCAUUUGAGGUGAAGUUCUGUUAUACACUCUGACUGUGGCUACGUGGAGGUCAGUGCAUCACAGAACUUUGUCUCGAGAGCUUUUUAGCGUCUGUCUCACUU
rnacentral:pre_miRNA from 15 species